AUUGAACGCUGGCGGAAUGCUUUACACAUGCAAGUCGAACGGUAGAGGGGGCAACCCCUUGAGAGUGGCGAACGGGUGAGUAAUAUAUCGGAACGUGCCCAGUCGUGGGGAUAACGUAGCGAAAGUUACGCUAAUACCGCAUACGAUCUAAGGAUGAAAGCGGGGGAUCGCAAGACCUCGCGCGAUUGGAGCGGCCGAUAUCAGAUUAGGUAGUUGGUGAGGUAAAGGCUCACCAAGCCAACGAUCUGUAGCUGGUCUGAGAGGACGACCAGCCACACUGGAACUGAGACACGGUCCAGACUCCUACGGGAGGCAGCAGUGGGGAAUUUUGGACAAUGGGCGCAAGCCUGAUCCAGCAAUGCCGCGUGCAGGAUGAAGGCCUUCGGUUGUAAC
rnacentral:rRNA from 1 species